rnacentral:rRNA from 1 species
CUACGUGCCAGCAGCCGCGGUAAUACGUAGGUGGCAAGCGUUAUCCGGAUUUAUUGGGCGUAAAGCGAGCGCAGGCGGUUUUUUAAGUCUGAUGUGAAAGCCCUCGGCUUAACCGAGGAAGUGCAUCGGAAACUGGGAAACUUGAGUGCAGAAGAGGACAGUGGAACUCCAUGUGUAGCGGUGAAAUGCGUAGAUAUAUGGAAGAACACCAGUGGCGAAGGCGGCUGUCUGGUCUGUAACUGACGCUGAGGCUCGAAAGCAUGGGUAGCGAACAGGAUUAGAUACCCUGGUAGUCCAUGCCGUAAACGAUGAAUGCUAGGUGUUGGAGGGUUUYCGCCCUUCAGUGCCGCAGCUAACGCAUUAAGCAUUCCGCCUGGGGAGUACGACCGCAAGGUUGAAACUCAAAGGAAUUGACGGGGGCCCGCACAAGCGGUGGAGCAUGUGGUUUAAUUCGAAGCAACGCGAAGAACCUUACCAGGUCUUGACAUCUUUUGAUCACCUGAGAGAUCRGGUUUCCCCUUCGGGGGCAAAAUGACAGGUGGUGCAUGGUUGUCGUCAGCUCGUGUCGUGAGAUGUUGGGUUAAGUCCCGCAACGAGCGCAACCCUUAUGACUAGUUGCCAGCAUUUAGUUGGGCACUCUAGUAAGACUGCCGGUGACAAACCGGAGGAAGGUGGGGAUGACGUCAAAUCAUCAUGCCCCUUAUGACCUGGGCUACACACGUGCUACAAUGGAUGGUACAACGAGUUGCGAGACCGCGAGGUCAAGCUAAUCUCUUAAAGCCAUUCUCAGUUCGGACUGUAGGCUGCAACUCGCCUACACGAAGUCGGAAUCGCUAGUAAUCGCGGAUCAGCACGCCGCGGUGAAUACGUUCCCGGGCCUUGUACACACCGCCCGUCWCACCAUGAGAGUUUGUAACACCCGAAGCCGGUGGCGUAACCCUUUUAGGGAGCGAGCCGUCU